ACGGGGGGGGCAAGCGUUGUUCGGAAUUACUGGGCGUAAAGGGCUCGUAGGCGGCCAACUAAGUCAGACGUGAAAUCCCUCGGCUUAACCGGGGAAUUGCGUCUGAUACUGGAUGGCUUGAGGUUGGGAGAGGGAUGCGGAAUUCCAGGUGUAGCGGUGAAAUGCGUAGAUAUCUGGAGGAACACCUGUGGCGAAAGCGGCGCACUGGACCACAACUGACGCUGAGGCGCGAAAGCUAGGGGAGCAAACAGGA
rnacentral:rRNA from 1 species